AGGCAUGUAGUUCUGCCAUGGAAAUUCCGCGACCUUCUACAUGGAAAUCGAAGCCUUCCAAACACAAAAGUGGUGAAUUACUGCAAUUAAGUUUAUGAUCUGAUUAAGCUGCAAUGGUACGCUAUGAAAUAACAUGAAAUUUCCUUGGCCUUCAAUUCCUGCAGUUACUAUACCGAUUGGAUAUGAUGAAGCAGGGUUGCCUAUCGGUCUACAAUUUAUCGGAAAACCUUAGGCUGAAGCAACAUUAAUUCACAUGGCUUCUGCAGUCCAGGUCGAUCGGACUUGGGAUAAUCAUGCACUGAGAGAACCAGCUUUAGUUGCUCACUUAAAGUAAUCCAGGAUUUUUGGCUACGUUAUUGAGAAACCCAAUUUCUUCACUUUUACUUGGUUGGCAAAAUUAGAAUCACAUACAUCUUGGAGCAUUCUGCAACUACUGGUUCUCAAAAGGGACAUUCCAUGGGAGACAUACAUGAUGACCAAGUUGAUCACUGGGACAACCCUUCAACUUUUAAGGCGUUAUGACAAGAAACCUGAGAACUAGAGAGCUUCCUUGCUGGAUGAUGUAAUUUUUCAUCUUUGCUUCUUUCUCGAAGUAUAGGCUGUUGAAGAAUUUUAGCUACAAUCUUUUUGUCAAAUGCAUCCAGUGACACAAAAUCUCUUUUAAUUUUGUUGAGAUCUGUCAUGACCUACCCCGUUCCUAACCAUAUAAUUUCUAUUGAAUGUUUGUAUGAUUAUGUUCAACAUAGAUUCAUAGAAGAGGCUUGAUUACUCUGUUUCACUAUGAUUAACAAGCAUGAUUACUUUGUUUCACUAUUUACUUUGUGAACAAUGUUUUAUCUAAUAUUUA